GCGUUGGUGGUCCAGUGGUAGAAUCCCCGCCUCGUAUGUGGGAGACCCAGGUUCGAUUCCCGGCCAAUGCC
rnacentral:tRNA from 2 species